rnacentral:rRNA from 1 species
CAAUAUUGGGUUGACCGUCAAAUCCUUUUCAUUAAAAGAGUGGGUUAAUGUCCAGCCAACACCAUCCAUUUU